rnacentral:rRNA from 1 species
UACGAGGGGGGCGAGCGUUGUUCGGAAUUAUUGGGCGUAAAGGGUGCGUAGGCGGUUUGGUAAGUCUGAUGUGAAAUCUAUGGGCUCAACUCAUAGUCUGCAUCGGAAACUGCCGGGCUUGAGUAUGGGAGAGGUGAGUGGAGUUCCUGGUGUAGCGGUGAAAUGCGUAGAUAUCAGGAGGAACACCUGUGGCGAAAGCGGCUCACUGGACCAUAACUGACGCUGAUGCACGAAAGCUAGGGGAGCAAACAGG